GAAUCUUCCGCAAUGGACGAAAGUCUGACGGAGCAACGCCGCGUGAGUGAUGAAGGCUUUCGGGUCGUAAAACUCUGUUGUUAGGGAAGAACAAGUGCUAGUUGAAUAAGCUGGCACCUUGACGGUACCUAACCAGAAAGCCACGGCUAACUACGUGCCAGCAGCCGCGGUAAUACGUAGGUGGCAAGCGUUAUCCGGAAUUAUUGGGCGUAAAGCGCGCGCAGGUGGUUUCUUAAGUCUGAUGUGAAAGCCCACGGCUCAACCGUGGAGGGUCAUUGGAAACUGGGAGACUUGAGUGCAGAAGAGGAAAGUGGAAUUCCAUGUGUAGCGGUGAAAUGCGUAGAGAUAUGGAGGAACACCAGUGGCGAAGGCGACUUUCUGGUCUGUAACUGACACUGAGGCGCGAAAGCGUGGGGAGCAAACAGGAUUAGAUACCCUGGUAGUCCACGCCGUAAACGAUGAGUGCUAAGUGUUAGAGGGUUUCCGCCCUUUAGUGCUGAAGUUAACGCAUUAAGCACUCCGCCUGGGGAGUACGGCCGCAAGGCUGAAACUCAAAGGAAUUGACGGGGGCCCGCACAAGCGGUGGAGCAUGUGGU
rnacentral:rRNA from 1 species